rnacentral:lncRNA from 1 species
GCAAAUCAGCCAACUCUCAAGUUCAUUAAGCAUAGCAUCAAGUGAAUUUUUGCAAAUGGUCAAUUGGUCCAAGUCAUUUGGUUGGGUAAGGGAAGGCUUUUAUUCAAGUGAGUCAAGAGGUUCAAAAUAUAUGAUUUUAAAGGUGGUUCACUCUCAAAACAAGUAGCCUUGACAUUGUACAUAAUAUAUCUAAGAAAGGGAUCAACUCAUGUAUACAAUGCUCAAUCUCCAUUGUUCUACCCUAUUCCCAAACAUACAAUUACACAAUCAUUCCCAAAUGUCAAACCCAACUCACAUCUCUCACCAAAAGAUCCUAAGAACAUUAACUAACUCCUUCUCGUUGAAAUCUACAAGGGAUUUUUCACAACCUCAAAACAUUACUUAGCUUCUAACAACUUUGCUAGCCCCUUUUUCUUUCUUUUUCUUUUAUUUUCAUAUUUUAUUUUUUUUUUAUUUUUUUUUUUUUUAGAUGGGGGCCAAGACUUUUCAUAACUUGAGCUAGAGGUUUUUCUACUUAUCCCAAUAAGACAAUUCACUUAAACACAAAGAGUCAUUUAUUUUCCUUUUUCAUUGCUCCCAAAUCAUAAUCACAACUCUCACCCCC